rnacentral:rRNA from 1 species
UACGGAGGGGGCUAGCGUUGUUCGGAAUUACUGGGCGUAAAGCGCACGUAGGCGGCUUUGUAAGUUAGAGGUGAAAGCCCGGGGCUCAACUCCGGAAUUGCCUUUAAGACUGCAUCGCUAGAAUUGUGGAGAGGUAAGUGGAAUUCCGAGUGUAGAGGUGAAAUUCGUAGAUAUUCGGAAGAACACCAGUGGCGAAGGCGGGUCUCUGGACAGUUCCUGACGCUGAGGCACGAAGGCCAGGGGAGCAAACGGG